rnacentral:rRNA from 1 species
AACCCAAACAGGGAUUGCCCCAGUAACGGCGAGUGAAGCGGCAGGAGCUCAAAUUUGAAAUCUGGGGCCCCCGGCCUCCGAGUUGUAAUUUGGAGAGGCUCCUUCGGGGGGGAGCGCUGGCCCAUGUUCCUUGGAACAGGACGUCGCAGAGGGUGAGAAUCCCGUGCCAGGCCGGCUGCCUCCUCCCGCGUGAAGGGCCUUCGACGAGUCGAGUUGUUUGGGAAUGCAGCUCCAAGUGGGUGGUAAAUUUCAUCUAAAGCUAAAUACCGGCGGGAGACCGAUAGCGCACAAGUAGAGUGAUCGAAAGAUGAAAAGCACUUUGAAAAUAGAGUCAAAAAGUACGUGAAAUUGUUGAAAGGGAAGCGCUUGAGACCAGACUCAGACCCAGGCAAACACCGCGCCCCCAGGGGCCGUGCAAUUGCCCGGUGCUGGGCCAGCAUCAGUUGGCGUGGCGGGACAAGGGCGCGGGAAAUGUGGCUCCCCUCGGGGAGUGUUAUCAGGCCCGCGCCGGAUGCCGCCGACGCCGACUGAGGACCGCGCCUCGGCUAGGAUGCUGGCUUAAUGGCCUUCAGCGACCCGUCUUGAAACACGGACCAAGGAGUCUAACAUCUAUGCGAGUGUUUGGGCGCCAAACCCUUGCGCGGAAUGAAAGUGAGCGGAGGUGGGAACCCCUAGCCGGGCGCACCAUCGACCGAUCCUGAUGUCUUCGGAUGGAUUUGAGUAGGAGCAUAGCUGUUGGGACCCGAAAGAUGGUGAACUAUGCCUGAAUAGGGUGAAGCCAGAGGAAACUCUGGUGGAGGCUCGCAGCGGUUCUGACGUGCAAAUCGAUCGUCAAAUUUGGGUAUAGGGGCGAAAGACUAAUCGAACCAUCUAGUAGCUGGUUCCUGCCGAU